rnacentral:lncRNA from 1 species
AUUUUAAAGAAUGUGAGAAGCCCAAGCCUUCACCAACUCCAUACUACUACAAGUCACCUCCUCCUCCGGUGCCAGUUUACAAGUACAACUCACCACCUCCACCGGUCCAUUAUUAUUCUCCUCCGUAUUACUACAAAUCACCACCUCCUCCUGUAAAAACACCGCCACAUCCUUACUAUUACAAGUCUCCACCACCACCAUCACCAUCUCCUCCUCCUCCAUAUUAUUACAAAUCUCCCCCACCUCCUUCACCAUCACCUCCUCCACCUUAUUAUUAUAAAUCUCCUCCUCCACCCAAAGUGAUAUCAAACCCUCCAUACUACUAUAAGUCACCACCUCCACCAUCACCGUCACCUCCUCCACCAUACUACUAUAAGUCCCCACCUCCACCAUCACCAUCUCCACCACCCCCAUACUAUUAUAAGUCACCACCUCCACCAUCACCAUCACCUCCUCCACCAUACUACUAUAAGUCCCCACCUCCACCAUCACCAUCACCUCCUCCACCAUACUACUAUAAGUCCCCACCCCCACCAUCACCAUCCCCACCACCACCUUACUAUUAUAAGUCCCCACCUCCACCCAAAGAGAUUUCACACCCUCCAUACUACUAUAAAUCACCACCCCCACCAUCACCGUCACCUCCUCCACCAUACUACUAUAAGUCCCCACCCCCACCAUCACCAUCCCCACCACCACCUUAUUAUUAUAAGUCUCCACCUCCACCCAAAGAGAUUUCACACCCUCCAUACUAUUAUAAGUCACCACCCCCGCCAUCACCAUCCCCUCCUCCGCCAUACUACUAUAAGUCACCACCCCCACCAUCUUCAUCCCCACCCCCACCAUAUUAUUACAAAUCUCCUCCACCACCAUCACCAUCACCACCACCUCCCUACUAUUACAAAUCACCUCCACCUCCUUCACCAUCACCACCACCUCCCUACUACUACAAAUCACCUCCACCACCAUCCCCAUCGCCACCACCUCCAUACUACUACAAAAGUCCCCCUCCACCAUCCCCCUCUCCUCCUCCCCCAUAUUACUACAAAUCUCCACCACCACCAUCACCAUCUCCACCUCCUCCCUACUAUUACAAAUCACCUCCUCCACCAUCACCAUCACCGCCACCUCCUUACUAUUACAAAUCUCCCCCACCUCCAUCUCCAUCUCCACCACCACCUUAUCAUUAUCAAAGUCCUCCUCCACCAUCUCCCAUUUCUCAUCCUCCCUACUAUUACAAAUCCCCUCCACCACCGUCGCCAUCUCCUCCACCUCCUUACCACUAUGUAAGUCCUCCACCACCAGUAAAGUCUCCUCCACCACCAGUUUAUAUAUAUGCUUCACCACCACCACCUAUCUACAACUAAGUUCAAAUUACAGAUGCACCAUUGAUGAUGAAUCAUGUAAGUUUAUCAUAUUUACUUUUAUGAAUGUAUGUGUGUUUUAUAAUAUAAUACUUAUAAAAGUUCUUAUUCGUGUUUGUUUUCAGGUUCCAGUUUUCAACUACGAAUAAAGUCAAGCUCCGUUUGGAGCAAAGUGAAAUAUCUAGCUUCGUACCCAUAUUUAUUAAAUAAAAGUCAGGAUGCAUCAUCUUUGAGCUACAAUAUUUGUCAUCGAGACAAAAUUUAUUUUAUUUCUUUGAUGACCAUCUUGCACUUCCUGAUCUUACUCUUUUCAAGUGACAGGCAAAUCAAAAUGGAGAAGCGUGAUUGAUUUAUUUGUGAUCUCUUAUAUUUAUUUGUGCAUAGAUCAAUAUGUACGUAUAUGAUAGUUUUCUAUUUAUUGAGAAAUUUUUUAUUGUAAUCUGUUAUCGUGUUUGCCAAAAGGUGUUAGCAAUAAAGAAUCGCAUUCAAUUUCUGCCUACACUAUUAAGUUUGUAUUUUUCUAACCACAAUCGUUCAUGCGAAUGUGAUGUAGCUGUUUAAAAUAGCUCCAAAUGAUGCAUAAAAAGCUUUCAAUCAAAUGAGACAGGGUCACGGUUACUCUUGUACCUAUUUAGUUAUCCAUACAUUUAUAUUCAUAGGGGUUAUAUGGUAUAGCUGCACUUAAUUAAUUGUUUAUGUAUGCAAGCUUUUCCUUUCCAUCAAUAAGCAAUGGUUAGAAGCAUUCUUCUACAUAUUCCUCUCUACUCUUCUAGAAUGAAUUGUUUAUUUCAUGUAAGAUGGUAUCAAAAGAUUCAAAACACACCACCUAAUGCUGCUAUGUAUAAAUAAAGUAUGACUACAAACUUUAUGACCCCUAAUUGAAAGAGAACUUAAAGUUUCAAGGUUUCUACACACAUUUUCAAGGAAGUAGGUUCCAAAUAUAACAUUAUCAUUCUCUGUACAAAUAUGACACUUCCAAGUAUUAUUUAUUGUAAGGAAUAGAAUGUACUCGUGAAUAGGGAAGACUUUUCAACAUCAAGUGGAUGAUGUUUUGCCUAAACUCGGCUGUUAUUGUUAACAUGGUGAAGUCUGGCUUUUUUGAAAAAUGGUUUUAGCAAACAAUCUAAUUGGAGAAUAUCAGUAGUUCAUGGCUUUAGACAAACCAACUGUUGUGCAUAUUUACUAGUUUGAUAGUUAAUUAAGGUCAUUCCUCCACAACUUUUUGAUUGGAUUCUAGUUUUCCUUCUUUGAGUACUUAAAAUUGAUAGAAACGUCAACUUUUUAAAUACUUUUUACUUAUAUUUCAUUUUAGAUUUCAUUUUCGAUGGAGUAUUUAUUAACCAAUGAUAUACGCAAGAGUCUCCCUCGUUUGAUUUCUUAAUUCAAUCAAUUUUUAUAUAUAAAAAAAGGACCCGAUAAUACAUCAAUGAUUGUAUUAAGAUAACUUCAGUUUGAAAAAUUGUACAACCCUAUACUACCUAUUACCUAAAUUAAACCCGAGAAUUUUAGGACCGUAAAGGUGGGUGGAGUGGUCGUCCAGAUAACUUUAACAUAAUUAGCUCUCCAAAAAUGGAAAAGUAAUCCUUUAUUUAAGCUAUGAUAUACACGCUUAUCUGCCCAACAUUAUAGUAAGAAUCCAAAAGGACUCACCUAAUCCCUCCAAUCCCUUUCUCUUUCUAGCUUUUCCACCCAACCACUGGUUCCACAAUUAUGGAAUCAAUAUCCAAUUAUGUUUACGAGGCGUGUCUAAUAUAUAGACCUCUCAGAAAAUGGUCAAGACUGUUACUAUUUUUUAGUAAAAAAAUAAUUUUAUAAUAAUAAAAAAUAAAAAGAAAAUAUAAUAUUUCAAUAAAAUUUAAUUAAAAAUAGUGAAGUUCACCAUUAGACCUAGACUAUAUUGGACAGUCCUAUCUUUAAGACUAAUUAUUGUGUGAAAAAUCAUCUAAUCGGAUUUUGUUACAUAACUCAAUACGAGUUGAGAUCUUAUCAAUUUCUCAAAAAAUAUAGAAUAUUCAAUUAUUAUAAUUUUGUAUUUCUAUAUUGACACACAUUUUUAAAACAUGUGACAUAAAUUAAACAUUUAUUAACUUUAUAUACACCAACAAUAUAGUAAUUAAACAAAUGAAAUGGAGAGGAUAUGAGGCUCAGCUGUCCUAUUACACGGCAUUGACUACCUUAAACAAUGUGUGAGAGAGAGGAGAACACGAUGGCAUUGUCCAACUUAAGUAUUAGUAGCUUCACAUGGAGACACAAUGCACCCAUUUUAUGGUAAUUUUAACAAAUGGGGCAUAUGUUCUGUCAACAAAAACAAAAAUAUGGGGCAGAUGCAACGAAAGUUACUGCCACCUUGGCCUUAAGAAAGAGUAAAUAAAUUGAUAUGUUGGACAAAACCAAAACGUUACUACAUUUCUCUUCUAGCUAGCAAAUCCAAAUCAGACAAUGGUGCUACAUUUAAUAUGUACAUUUCCACUAACAAUGGUGAAAAAAAAGAUAAUUGUCAAAUUUUAACAUCAAAGGGAGAAUUAAUCUCACGCCAUUUAAGAAGAAAAAUAUGAAAUAGAUAGUGGGAGAACACACUUGUCCAUCUUAUGUGAAAAUUUCAGAUGAUACGAUCCAUUCCUAGAAAUUAGAAUCACAUGUAAUUUUAAUCUGGAAGAUUGACUUUUCAGAAAAAUAAAACUAGAUUUGUUCACAAUAUCAUAGAGGAAUUUACAUGAUUUCCUCCCGUUGAAUUGUAGGACUAUUUCUUAUUGGCAAAGGCUUGGUUGUCCAUUUAAAAUAUUAUAUCACAUUAUCCAACAGCACCAAACCCAAUUUUCAUAACGGUAGUUUGCACGUUUCAUUCAUUUAUUGAUUCCAUAAUUUUAUGUUACAAGUCGACAUUGAUCAGUUGCUAAAAACUAUGCAACGACCAAAAAUAACUAGUAGUAUAUAUUUUAACACCGAGAUUUAUCAGACAGGAACAUAUGUAAAGACAAAUCAAAUGAAUGCCCAGUUUAAGUCAGAAUAAUAUAACACAUAAUAUAGUGUACACAGUUAAAAAAAAAAAAUCAAAUUUCACAAGACAAUAAAUGUAAUAUAAUUUUAUGCGCAGCUAACAAUUUUUCACUAGCUUUCGCCAUUAUGAUGUUUUGACUCUGUGUGCAUAUUUCAGUUAUAAGAUUAUUCCGUUUUAUGUUACUGAAAUACUAAUUCAACCAUUUGGCAUUGACAUAUUUCCAUCAUGAGUGCAUGUUUCUUUUUGUUUUAUUUUUCCUUUCUUUCUUUUGAAUAAUUUCUUCCUUUGUUACUAAAAUAACUUGAUCUUGAUAUACAUGAGAUAAAGCCUACACCUGAUACAAGGUAAAUGCAUUGGACAAAUAAAGCAAAAAACAAAGCUAUUCAGAAAGUGUAUUGCACAAACAGAGAAACUACUAAGAAAGGUUAAACUUUUUACUUUUAUAAUAAAUAUGAAAUUUGCUAAUUAUUUUUCCUGGUUAUUGUUCUUUUUAUUUUCUCCUUCAAAAUCAGCAAUAUGCAAUUGUGCAUUUCAUCCGGGAAACAUCAUCACAUGUUCAUCUCAUAAUUGAGAAGUCACAUAAUUUGGAUUACUCUAUCACAUUCAAAAAGUACACAUACAAAACAUGAAAAGUCAACUAUACAUUUCACGAUUAAAUGAAGAACACAAAAAUUCCAACCAAAGCUUGCAAUAGCUACCAUCAUGGGCUAGAACAAAAAUAAUGCCCAUUCAUGGAUAAGUAAGGCAAAACAGACUAGAUUCACAUUCCCUUCCCUCAAAAACAAUACAAAGUAAAAUUGAAAAAGAGAACAAGAGAGAAAAUGGUAAAAGAAAAAAAGCAUUUUGACAGUUACUUUUUUGUCAAGAUAAGCAACUCAGAAGGGAAGCUAUGAGGAAACUAUAGAAGAAUAGGACACAUUACUUCAAGUUCUCUAAUCAUUCCAUUUUGUCAAGAUGCUUAUUUAUAUUUUAAUUAUGACAAAAUACAUCUUAUAGUCUUUUAAGUUACACGAAAAUAUCAAAUUGGUCAUUUAACUUUUUUUGUAUCAAUUUAUGUUUGUAAAAGUUACACUGUUGAACUAUUUUUAGUCCCAACCUCAUUUCAAUCAUUUUUAGUUAAAUAUUUUUAAAUUGUAUUAUGAGUUUUGUAUCAAUCAUAAGAGGAAUAAUAUAUUAAAUUUUAUGUGAUUGCAUGAUGUAGAUUAAGAGAUUUUAGUGUUUAAUUUCAAAAAACACUAAAAUGUAUCUCACUCAAAUUCUAUUUUGUUUAAUUAUUUUUCUAAAAGUUGAUUGAAGGUCUAUGUUCUUAUGAUUAUUGCAAUCAAAAGCCUUUAAAAAUUAUAUGAGUUUAUCGAAAAAAUUAAGAGAAUUUUGAAUUUCAAUUUUGCUGAUGUAAAAUUAAGAUUAUCGGCGUAAACAUUUACAAACAUAAAAGGCAAACUUAACACUAAUGAAAAUAAAAGACUACGUUGUUACAACAAAAAAGGACUAAAUUGUUAAAAAUAAAAAAUAAAGGACUAAUUUUUAGUUUUCUUAUAACUUUAAAGACCACGGGAGAUAGAAAUAGUGACGGGUUACGGCCAUUGGAACUAGGAAGUAUAACAAUGUAAUGCGAAAGAAGUUGCCAACUGGGAGCAUUAUUUAAAGGACUUAAAUCAAAAUGAGUCAAAUCAAUAUUUGAAUUGGUCCUUAAUGAUAGCUGCCUCUUUACGACUUACUCUCACUACACUAUAAGUAUUAAGUCUCACAAGCAGCUUUUCACAUAAUCACAAACUCCAAAACCUCUCUUCUACCCUUCCACGGGAGAUAGAAAUAGUGACGGGUUACGGCCAUUGGAACUAGGAAGUAUAACAAUGUAAUGCGAAAGAAGUUGCCAACUGGGAGCAUUAUUUAAAGGACUUAAAUCAAAAUGAGUCAAAUCAAUAUUUGAAUUGGUCCUUAAUGAUAGCUGCCUCUUUACGACUUACUCUCACUACACUAUAAGUAUUAAGUCUCACAAGCAGCUUUUCACAUAAUCACAAACUCCAAAACCUCUCUUCUACCCUUCCAGCUUUUCCACCAUAUCAAAGAAUAUUAGUGAGGAUACAAUAACAGAAGCAUUGGAGGUGACAACUUUUUCUUUCUACCCAUGACAGAUAGAACCAGUUGCCCCAGAAGGGAUUAUAUCUGGCCACCAAUGGCAACGGCAUUGGCCAUUGUGUUAAUUUCCACAACUGUGGUUUCUGUUGCUGCUGAUAGUUACAUUUACUCUUCUCCACCACCACCUCCUUACGUGUACAAGUCACCACCUCCUCCAUCACCAUCAACUCCAACACAUUACAUUUACAAGUCUCCACCACCUCCACCCUAUGAGCACAAGUCUCCAUCUUAUGAGUACAAGUCUCCCCCACCUCCUUCACCAUCACCC